rnacentral:rRNA from 1 species
CCUACGGGCGGCAGCAGUGGGGAAUAUUGGGCAAUGGGCGAAAGCCUGACCCAGCAACGCCGCGUGAGGGAAGAAGGUCUUCGGAUUGUAAACCUCUGUCCUUGGGGACGAAAAAAAUGACGGUACCCAAGGAGGAAGCCCCGGCUAACUACGUGCCAGCAGCCGCGGUAAUACGUAGGGGGCAAGCGUUGUCCGGAAUUACUGGGCGUAAAGGGUGCGUAGGCGGUUGCCUAAGUCAGAUGUGAAAUCCCCGGGCUUAACUCGGGUGGUGCAUUUGAAACUGGGCGGCUAGAGUGCAGGAGAGGGAAGCGGAAUUCCUAGUGUAGCGGUGAAAUGCGUAGAUAUUAGGAGGAACACCAGUGGCGAAGGCGGCUUUCUGGACUGUAACUGACGCUGAGGCACGAAAGCGUGGGGAGCAAACAGGCUUAGAUACCCUAGUAGUC